rnacentral:ncRNA from 2 species
AACCGCUUGACGGAGCGCGAGUAAAAACUCGCUGAGAUCACCUAAGUUCUACUUGAUGGUGAGUACCGUUGAACCUGAUCAGGUUAAGACCUGCGUAGGAAUCAAGCCACCUCAAACU